UUGGUUCCUGAAUGGCUCUCUCU
rnacentral:siRNA from 1 species